CGUGGAGAAGCAGACAUCUUUUGAGGACCGCGCACAACUGCGGGAAGUUCCCGUCAGAGGCACUCACGGGAUCACUUUCCCUCACGUGAUCGUUCUGUCGUUUGCGGCUCACAGCAGCCUCCACAAAUGCCGCACUGGUCUCUUGGAGAGGAGACAACGCUGUGACGCGGCUCCAGAAGUCGAGCGUGGCGACGUUCACCCAGAGCUGGUGGAGUUACACCUUUUUGCAACGUACACGUACAUGCAGACUCUGGUGAAGCUCUUGCUGACGUAUACACGCCUUCCCGCCUCAUGCCAGUGCGAAGCGAGGGAUAUUGAAGACGUGGUGGCGAAAACACGAUGAGACACGCAGACUUUCGAUGAUCCCGCGCCACCCCAGAGUAGCAGAGUUUUCAGGACCGGCCACGGUAAGAAAACUACAUGCAACUCAAGCGUUGAAGGGUACUUUGCGGACCACACUGAGGUCUCGGCAAGUUAUUGAACUGCGGGGCGUAUGCGGCCUCAUCCGUGGUCUUCGAACACAGGAGCAGCGGUUUUCAUUAGCUCAGCAAGUACACAACUCGAUAGUCCUGGUAAGAGUUGUGAAGGAAGCAGAUAGAGGGUUCCAGAAUGGGGACACGACAGAAGAAUGUUGUACGCGGCUGUCUGAUUUCUGGAGAGACAGCGGCACGGCCCGCCUGCAACUACAAACACAAAACUCAUCUUCGAGAUGCAACGGAGAGAAGCCGUUCAAGUUCGUGCUUCAUCUUCUGUGAUUUUUUCUUCAGCGCUGUUACAGUCGCUUUGUGGUCUUGUUCCUCCUGAAGGGCAUAGAGAGGGAAAAAAGGCUUUUCAGUGAGCGGAUUGCAGUGGGGGUGAAAGCGUAACGCUCUUCUGUCCGUCCGUGAGUAAUGCCUCAGCACACGUCGAAAUUGCGUGUUUCGAGUGCUAAAGACCGAGAGCUCCUAUGCUUUCGUGCAGUACCUGUUCCAUCCUUGCCGUGGCAUCUUGAACGGUCUUCUCGACGUAGCGUUCCAUUACUUUCACUUCCUGCUCCAGCUGCUUGUUGCUUUGGUUGAGAGAUUCGAGUCGCUCGUCCAUUUCUUCUUUCCGCUGCUCCGCCUGUAAUGCCUUUCUCAUACCGAAGGCUGCAGAUGACUCGUACAGCUUCUGAUAUGCUUGAGUCAUUGUGCGGAGCUCCGUGCGUACGCGGUGUAGUAGCAACCCUCGCUCGGCGCAUGCAAUGGUCACCUGAAGUAUGACACCGUCCUUCGGUUGAGCCGAUGAACCAUCAAGCAUUUCUGUUCAUACAGGGUCUCACGGUGGCCGUUAUCGUACCGACAGAUGUUGUUUUCUUGCU
rnacentral:lncRNA from 1 species